UACAGAGGUCCCAAGCGUUGUUCGGAUUCACUGGGCGUAAAGGGUGCGUAGGUGGCUUGGUAAGUUCGAUGUGAAAUCUCCGGGCUUAACCCGGAAAUGGCAUUGAAUACUAUUGAGCUGGAGGUUUGGAGGGGGGACUGGAAUUCUCGGUGUAGCAGUGAAAUGCGUAGAUAUCAAGCGGAACACCAGUGGCGAAGGCGAGUCCCUGGACAACUCCUGACACUGAGGCACGAAAGCUAGGGGAGCAAACAGG
rnacentral:rRNA from 1 species